GCCAUGGGGUGGCAGCAGAGAGCGUGCGAACGUCUUGGCUGACAGGAUGCAGUGAGGCAGGUGCUUUAUUUUGCUUCCCUUGCCUGCUUUUUCAAACCACGGGAACUGAUCAUGCCUGGAUCCAGACAGGGCUCUGUUCAGGCCUUCAUCAGUACCAGUUAAUUGAUGAACCAAAGACCUGAAGAGAAGCCCAACAGUACUGCAGAGAAAAGUUCACUGGCCUGGCUACUGUGGACAACAUGGAAGACGUGGAUCAACUGAUUGCAGCUGCUGGCAGUGGCUACAGUGGAAAAGUAUGGAUUGGCCUGUAUGACAAUUCUAGCAGCUGGGCGUAGUCGAUGACAGAUGAUGGCUACUACGAAACCAACAAUCAGCAGUUUCUCUGGUGGAAAACUGGUCAACAAGAUAAUCGCAGAGAUUACUGGAACCUAUGCACUAUUGUAGAAAAAGGUCUAUUGUAUGAUGUGCUAUGCUCCCGAACAGGCCCUUUUUUUUUGCUAUGACAAUUGUAACGGUGAGUAAAACUUUACGUCUUCAAAUCAAAUCAAAUCAACUUUAUUUAUAUGGCACUUUUCAUACAAUAGAGUAACACAAAGUGCCUCACAGAGGAUAAAAAAAAACAACACAAUACAAAACACUGUGAAAAACCCGAAACCUUCCACCCCCCAACAAAUAUACACACAGAUACACAAUCACAUAUACAUUCACACACAAGACGUGGCUCAACUGAUUGCAGCUGCUGGCAGUGGCUACAGUGGUAAAGUAUGGAUUGGCCUGUAUGACAAUUCUAGCAGCUGGGCGUGGUCGAUGACAGAUGAUGGCUACUACGGAACCAACAAUCAGCCCUUUCUCAGGUGGUCCAAGGGCCAACCAAAUGAUCGCAGAGAUGAGUGGCACCUAUGCGCUACGGUAGUUAAAGGUGGAGGUGUGAAUGAUGUGCCAUGCUCCUACCCACUCCCCUUUCUCUGCUAUGACAAUUUAGACGGUGAGUAAAUUGUUACUUCUUGUGGUUUCUGUGAUCCAGUAACAUGUAGUGCAUUUUCUAGAUUGUGGUAUAAUUAUUACUUCAAGUGUGUGUUUAGGCCCCAAAACAGAAAAUGAACGGCAGCUUUGACUGUUUUAUUUGUCUUGUAAAGAUGUAACUCACAUGUGAAGAUUUUACUCUUUUCUUAAUUUGAUUUCAUGCAGAUUGGAUUUUUAAAACUGUUGGUCAGAAUAAAUUACUUUUGUGUGCAAAUUAGUCUCACUGAACUUUCAAAAUUCUUGCCAGCUUCUUCUCCUCCAAGAUAUGUCUAGAAGUCCUGGAAGGUGACAUGGGAGGAAGCUCAGAGCUACUGCAGGAAGUUCCACACAGACCUGGCCUCCAUCAGGAAUGAAGAAGAGAUGACACUGGUCCAGAAGGCUGGACCAGGAAAUAUGGGUGUUUUCGUUGGUCUGUCUAGAAGAACCUGGUACUCUUGGUCAGAUGGCACAGAGCAUGAAUUCAAAAACUGGUUGACUGGAAACAUACCAUAUAACAGUGGAGACUGUGCUACCCGUUUGAUCGGUGCUACUGAUGCUGGAAAGUGGGUGGAAGAUCACUGUGAUCAAAAACUUCCUUUCAUGUGCCACUACGAGACAAAGCAGCUUCGGAUCAAGCUGAGGGUUCUGAAAUCCACAAUGGACCUGAAUGACCCCGCUGUGACGGAGGCCAUCCUGAAACUGCUGGAGAAGAAGCUGAAAGAGAAAGGGAUCACAGCAGGGUUCAAACUUAGAUGGGUCAAGAAGAAUGACAACACCAUCUUUGAGGAAGAGAAGGAAGAGAAGGAUGAACUGUAAACUGUAUUUACAGGAUAUCUUUCAUUUGUUUUACUUUGAAGGUUCAUGUUUUAGGUUGACAUGUUAGAGCCAACUAAUAAAUAUCAAACUGUCAUGUGAGACAUUUAUUGUUUUGGAGUAGAGCAGAGUAAAUUGUUCAGAAAACUGAACAAAUAUCUUAUUUAUCCUGUUGCUGUGUUGAUAAAUUAAUGGUAGGGCAGAUUUACAGGUGAUUUUAUGCAACAUACAUGUGGAAAUCUACACAUUUAAACUGUGAAAACUUUCUCAUGUGAAAAUGUUGUAAUGAACUGCAGAGACAUCAGCGUAUCCCUGUAAAGCUGGAUUCAUUUAUAGAGCAUGUUGUUGGAUAUUUCAGAGUGAUGUGUGAUGUAUUAGGAUUUAAUAUUGUAGCUUUGUAAGAAAAUCUCUGAGGUCAUGAGAGUUGUGAAGGAAAAAUGACUCUUUCCCCUUUCUAAGGUCAUAAUGGCCUUUAGACAGACAGACACUGCAGGAGAUCAGAUAUCGUCUAUUGUGAUGUGACUAAGCAGACCAGUUGUCUCCAUAUUGGUCUGUAAUCUAAAUCUGACCUUCUCCCAACUCCAAUAUAAAGCCAAAGAUCAGAGAGAAUCCUCAGAAGUGCUGCUGGCAUUGCUUGCAUGUACUGCUGCUCUGUUGGUGUCACUUCUCCUGAUAUCAGUAAACAUUACUCACAACCUAAGUCAUCUGAGUCUCCAGUGUGUCUCUCUGGAUCUGCCUCCACAUCACUGAACUUCAGCAACAAGAGUCCAGUGAAUGUUCUUCAUUGUGUGGUUUUUAAAUAUCUACAGAUCUGUAGCUGACUUGUAUCUGUUCUUUGUGUUAAAACUGUGUUUGCAACUGUAAUCAUCAUAACGAUUUCUGUUCAUUAUACUGGUUUGGUUUUCAAUAAAGUUUUCUGACAAUAACAAAAAUUA